rnacentral:rRNA from 55 species
UUGACCUCGGAUCAGGUAGGAAUACCCGCUGAACUUAAGCAUAUCAA